rnacentral:tRNA from 3 species
UCCUCGGUAGUAUAGUGGUUAGUAUCCCCGCCUGUCACGCGGGAGACCGGGGUUCGAUCCCCCGCCGGGGAG